AUUGAACGCUGGCGGCAUGCCUUACACAUGCAAGUCGAACGGCAGCACGGGGCAACCUGGUGGCGAGUGGCGAACGGGUGAGUAAUGCAUCGGAACGUACCUUUCAGUGGGGGAUAACGUAGCGAAAGUUACGCUAAUACCGCAUAUUCUGUGAGCAGGAAAGCAGGGGAUCGCAAGACCUUGCGCUGAUUGAGCGGCCGAUGUCAGAUUAGCUAGUUGGUGAGGUAAAGGCUCACCAAGGCGACGAUCUGUAGCGGGUCUGAGAGGAUGAUCCGCCACACUGGAACUGAGACGCGGUCCAGACUCCUACGGGAGGCAGCAGUGGGGAAUUUUGGACAAUGGGGGCAACCCUGAUCCAGCCAUGCCGCGUGAGUGAAGAAGGCCUUCGGGUUGUAAAGCUCUUUCGGCCGGGAAGAAAUCGCACGGGCUAAUACCCUGUGCGGAUGACGGUACCGGAAUAAGAAGCACCGGCUAACUACGUGCCAGCCGCCGCAGUAACAC
rnacentral:rRNA from 1 species